CCUACGGGUGGCUGCAGUGGGGAAUAUUGGACAAUGGGCGAAAGCCUGAUCCAGCCAUGCCGCGUGUGUGAAGAAGGCCUUCGGGUUGUAAAGCACUUUCAGUGGGGAAGAAAGCCUUGGGGCUAAUACCCUCGAGGAAGGACAUCACCCACAGAAGAAGCACCGGCUAACUCCGUGCCAGCAGCCGCGGUAAUACGGAGGGUGCGAGCGUUAAUCGGAAUUACUGGGCGUAGCGCGCGUAGGCGGUCUGAUAAGCCGGUUGUGAAAGCCCCGGGCUCAACCUGGGAACGGCAUCCGGAACUGUCAGGCUAGAGUGCAGGAGAGGAAGGUAGAAUUCCCGGUGUAGCGGUGAAAUGCGUAGAGAUCGGGAGGAAUACCAGUGGCGAAGGCGGCCUUCUGGACUGACACUGACGCUGAGGUGCGAAAGCGUGGGUAGCAAACAGGAUUAGAUACCCCAGUAGUC
rnacentral:rRNA from 1 species